rnacentral:tRNA from 1 species
GCUGGAAUAGCUCAACUGGUAGAGCAACGCUCUCGUACAGCGUAGGUUCUCGGUUCAACUCCGAGUUCCAGCUCCA